rnacentral:misc_RNA from 1 species
AGCCAAGCGGCGUCAGAGCGUCCAUUCGAGAAGAGCGCUGGGAAGAGGUAGACGUUGCGUUGCGUCCCGAAAAUAUAUUAGUGUUUCGGUAGUUAUUUACUCAUCGGCACAAUUACUUCAGACAAAAUGCCACCGAAGACUAAGAUCUUCGUUGGCAAGCUGCCGCCAACCUGUAAGGAUUUUGAGCUGCGAAAAUUGUUUGAACGUUUUGGUGAAGUCACAGAAUGUUCAAUCCUAGGCAAUUAUGCCUUCGUACACAUGAAGACAGAAGAUCAGGCAGGCAAUGCUAUCAGGAACUUGAACAACUGGGACCUCAAUGGCUUCAAAAUUAGUGUAGAGCAAUCCACGGGAGAGAAGCGAGCAGGGGGUAUGGGUGGAAUGGCUGGUGGAAGAGGUAUGGGUGGGGGCUUCCGAGGGCGUGGUGGCCCAAUGAGGGGAAGAGGCAUGGGCAGACCAGGACCAUAUGACCGCAGACCACCUAUGGGUGAUCGAUAUGGCCCACCUCCCCCUGGGCCCCCGCCACCUGCACCUCCCAUGAGAAAUGGAUAUUAUGACGAUUAUGAGCGCAGAGAUCGUCGCCCACUGCCACCUGCAGGUGGUUUGGACAGGCGCCCCCCACCUCCUCCCAUGCCCAGGGAGCCAGCAUACAGAGAUCCCUAUGACCGGUACGAUUCGUAUGAACGUAUGCCUCCUCCACCAAUGGGCCGACGCACCCCACCACCUAUGGACAGGCGGCCACCUCCCAUGGGCUAUGAUCGCAGAGACGACCCUUACGGAGACAUGUAUGGACCCCGAGCUGAGCGUGACAUGUAUGGAGGUGGACGGGAAAUGUUCCCUCCUCGUGGAAGAUCCCCUCCUCGACGCAGUCCACCACGCCGGUUAAACUGGGACAUGACCAGUAUGGGUUGAUGACAUCCAGUUGAACCCAGAUGAAGGUUGUGAAGCAGCCCAAAGCCUGACACUUUGGUGGUAGUCGUCACCUGGACUUGCAGUUGCCGCCCUCAACGAGGAAGUUUUUUAAAUUGAAUCCAUGGUUGAGGACUGCCGUAUGCUACAAUUCACUUGAAUGGAUCUAGGAGCAAGAAAAUAUUAAGAGCUUCCAGUAGAAUAAUUUCUGUAUUUUCACUUAGAUUCUACUACUUGGUUGAAUUAUAGAAAUCCUCAGUAAUCUGUAAUUUAAUUUUUUAUAAAUAUGAUGGCUCAGGGUUUAAGUAAGGUGAUAUUGUAUUGUAUGCAAUAAAAGGAAAUGUUGAA